UACAGAGGUCCCAAGCGUUGUUCGGAUUUACUGGGCGUAAAGGGUGCGUAGGUGGCGGGGUAAGUCUGGUGUGAAAGCUCCGAGCUCAACUUGGAAAAGCAUUGGAAACUAUCCCGCUUGAGGGUCGAAGGGGAGACUGGAAUUCUCGGUGUAGCAGUGAAAUGCGUAGAUAUCGAGAGGAACACCAGUGGCGAAGGCGAGUCUCUGGACGACUCCUGACACUGAGGCACGAAAGCUAGGGGAGCAAACAGG
rnacentral:rRNA from 1 species